CCGUCCGAGUUGUAACCUGGAGGAGCGCUUUCCGCGCCGGACCGUGUACAAGUCUCCUGGAACGGAGCGUCAUAGAGGGUGAGAAUCCCGUCCAUGACACGGACGCCCGGUGCUUUGUGAUUGCGCCCCCGAAGAGUCGCGUUGUUUGGGAAUGCAGCGCAAAAUGGGUGGUAAAUUCCAUCUAAAGCUAAAUAUUGGCGAGAGACCGAUAGCGAACAAGUACCGUGAGGGAAAGAUGAAAAGCACUUUGGAAAGAGAGUUAAACAGUACGUGAAAUUGUUGAAAGGGAAACGCUUGAAGUCAGUCGCGUCGCACGGAACUCAGCCUGGCCUCGGCCUGGUGUACUUUCCGUGCGACGGGUCAACAUCAAUUUCGGGCGGCGGACAAGGGCGAGGGGAAUGUAGCGUCGCUUCGGCGGCGUGUUAUAGCCCCUUGUCGUAUACGCCGUGCGGGAUUGAGGACCGCAGCGCGCCCUUGUGGCCGGGGUUCGCCCACGUCACGCGCUUAGGAUGUUGGCAUAAUGGCUUUAAGCGACCCGUCUUGAAACACGGACCAAGGAGUCUAACAUGCUUGCGAGUGUUCGGGUGGAAAACCCUUGCGCGGAAUGAAAGUGAAAGUUGGGAGCCUCCGCGAGGGGGUGCACCGACGCCCGGCCCUGAAGUUCUCUGACGGUGCUGCGGUAGAGCAGGUGUGUUGGGACCCGAAAGAUGGUGAACUAUGCCUGAAUAGGGCGAAGCCAGAGGAAACUCUGGUGGAGGCUCGUAGCGAUUUGGACGUGCAAAUCGAUCGUCAAAUUUGGGUAUAGGGGCGAAAGAUUAAUCGAACCAUCUAGUAGCUGGUUCCUGCCUAAAGUUUCCCUCAAGAUAGCAYAAGACUCGUAUCAAGAUUUUGAGUGGUAAARCWAAAUGAUUGGAAGGSCUUGGGGGUUAACA
rnacentral:rRNA from 1 species